GAAUUUCAACCAUCCAAACUGCUUUCUGUGGAUCCAAUCUGUAAUCUGCAGAGCGCGUCUGGAUUGUAAUACAGAUUGCAAUAUGCAAGCCACACAAGUUAGGUAAAGAACAAGUGCGGGAUGCUGACAAUGGGCCAGUCGAGUGCAAAGCACUAUAUAUUCGUUUCUUAGACGCAGCUUCCGUGUAUAGAUUUUUAUUGUUCUAAAUAAUCUAGAAUCAUAUUGCCACUUCCCUCAGAGAUUGGGAAUAGAGUAAGAAUAGGCAAUUCUUAUACAGUGACAUACAGUGAUCCUAAAUUAUCAACUUGUCAAACAUUUAAUAAUUUCCUUCUGUUUUUUCGUCUGAAGAGACCGAAUGCUUAGAUAGAUAACAAUAGAUGCUUGGAAAAUGUAGCCAAGUAGUUCCUCUUGACAAAAUCUUCCCUUUUUGAUAGUUUGGAACAGAGCCACUGUAUGGUGACUGGUAGACUCCAAGAGUUGCUUUAAUUGAUACACUGAGACUGGGAUGGACAGAGUACAUUUGAUUGUCUAUUUUACCUGCAAUGCAAUAUAAAUCAACGUCAUUUGGCUUAAUGUUUUAAAUUCAUUACAUCAGUUAUAUUGAUAUUCUGUAAUAAACCAGCAUUUUUCCCCAUGACAUUAAUUUUUUUUAGUAUUUCUAUGUUUCAAAUAAAUACCUUUACUUAGUA
ensembl:lncRNA novel transcript, sense intronic to CAPS2